rnacentral:rRNA from 1 species
CAGCAGCCACGGUAAUACGAAGGGUGCAAGCGUUAAUCGGAAUUACUGGGCGUAAAGCGUGCGUAGGCGGUUUGUUAAGUCUGCUGUGAAAUCCCCGGGCUCAACCUGGGAAUGGCAGUGGAUACUGGCAAGCUAGAGUGUGUCAGAGGAUGGUGGAAUUCCCGGUGUAGCGGUGAAAUGCAUAGAGAUCGGGAGGAACAUCAGUGGCGAAGGCGGCCAUCUGGGACAACACUGACGCUGAGGCACGAAAGCGUGGGGAGCAAACAGGAUUAGAUACCCCCGUAGUCCCUGUCUCUUAUAC